UACGUAGGGUGCAAGCGUUGUCCGGAAUUAUUGGGCGUAAAGAGCUCGUAGGCGGUUUGUCGCGUCUGCUGUGAAAACCCGAGGCUCAACCUCGGGCCUGCAGUGGGUACGGGCAGACUAGAGUCCGGAAGAGGAGAGUGGAAUUCCUGGUGUAGCGGUGAAAUGCGCAGACGUAUCGAGGAAGAACACCCGUGGCUAAGGCGGCUCU
rnacentral:rRNA from 1 species